AGUGAACGCUGGCGGUAUGCCUAACACAUGCAAGUCGAACGGCAGCACAGUGAGAGCUUGCUCUCACGGGUGGCGAGUGGCGGACGGGUGAGGAAUGCAUCGGAAUCUACUUUUUCGGGGGGGACAACGUAGGGAAACUUACGCUAAUACCGCAUACGACCUACGAGUGAAAGCAGGGGAGAUUCGGACCUUGCCCGAAUGAAUGAGCCGUUGUCGGAUUAGCGAGUUGGCGGGGGAAAGGCCCACCAAGCCAACGGUCCUUAGCUGGUCUGAGAGGAUGGCCAGCGACACGGGACUUGAACCACGGUCCAGACUCCUCCGGGGGGCACAAGUGGGGAAUAUCGGCAAAAGGGCGCAAGCCUGAUCCAGCCAUACCGCGGGGGUGAGGAAGGCCUUGGGGUUGAAAAGCCUUUUUGUUGGGAAGGAAAAGCGGCAGGUUAAUACGCCCAUGUUCUGACGGUACCCAAAGAGUAAGCACCGGCUAACUUCGUG
rnacentral:rRNA from 1 species